AUUGAACGCUGGCGGCAUGCUUUACACAUGCAAGUCGAACGGUAACAGGGUGCUUGCACCGCUGACGAGUGGCGAACGGGUGAGUAAUGCGUCGGAACGUGCCGAGUAGUGGGGGAUAACGCAGCGAAAGUUGUGCUAAUACCGCGUACGUACUGAGGUAGAAAGUGGGGGACCUUCGGGCCUCACGCUAUUCGAGCGGCCGACGUCCCAUUAGCUAGUUGGCGGGGUAAAAGCCCACCAAGGCGACGAUGGGUAGCUGGUCUGAGAGGAUGAUCAGCCACACUGGAACUGAGACACGGUCCAGACUCCUACGGGAGGCAGCAGUGGGGAAUUUUGCACAAUGGGGGAAACCCUGAUGCAGCAACGCCGCGUGAGUGAAGAAGGCCCUUGGGUUGUAAAGCUCUUUCGGCCGGGAAAAAGGAUCUACGUACUAAUACUCCGUAGGUUUGAUGGUACCGGAAGAAGAAGCACCUGCUAACUACGUGCCAGCCGCCGCCGUAA
rnacentral:rRNA from 1 species